rnacentral:lncRNA from 1 species
CUCCCGUGGCUUCUGGACUCUUCUAGAUGGUAGAUAAUUGUGCAGCACGUUAAUAUCUCUAUGUAAACCCGACGUGUGGGCCUUUCUUCCGUAUUUCCUGAUAACCCCCUGCAGAAACAGACAAACACCAAAACUCGUGGAAUUCUGUCAGAUAAAACCCUAAGUCUAGGUGUUGGUUGCAUUUGGAUCCUUUUCCAUGAUUAGUUGAUGGUUA